rnacentral:rRNA from 1 species
AUUGAACGCUGGCGGCAGGCCUAACACAUGCAAGUCGAGCGGAGCGGCGGACGGGUGAGUAAUGCCUAGGUAUCUGCCUGGUCGUGGUGGAUCACGUCCGGAACUGGGCGCUAAUACCGCAUCCUAUCAGAUGAGCCUAGGUCGGCUUAGCUAGUGGGUGGGGUAAAGGCCUACCAAGGCGACGAUCCGUAACUGGGCUGAGAGGAUGAUCAGUCACACGGGAACUGAGACACGGUCCAGACGCCUACGGGAGGCAGCAGUGGGGAAUAUUGGACAAUGGGCGAAAGCCUGAUGCAGCCAUGCCGCGUGUGUGAAGAAGGUCUUCGGAUUGUAAAGCACUUUAAGUUGGGAGGCGUUACCAACAGAAUAAGCACCGGCUAACUCCGUGCCAGCCGCCGCGGUAAUAC